AUAUCUCAACACAGACAGGGUUAAUCCUGUUCUGAUGCUUGGAUGUUGAAGGCUUGCUGGCAACCUUACUUGCUUGCUCCUUUUAAAUAUAUUAGCAGAAACCAGUACAAAAUCUGGCUUCAGUUUGAUAAAUACUUAUCUGUAUAACUGUUGCUAGUGAAAGCUUGUGUUUCAGCUUCCAAUUGUCCAUUUAAUGGACUGUCUCUCGAGGCAUACUUUGACAC
rnacentral:misc_RNA from 1 species